rnacentral:piRNA from 1 species
UGAAAAAAUGUCAAACUUUUC